rnacentral:lncRNA from 1 species
UUCAUAGGAAGUGCAGCCAGAGGAAGACUGAGUUUCCUUGUGUUGGUUUAGACCUGCUGUAAAUGCCUAAGUCCUGUUGGCCAGAUUUGGACCCGUUACACUAGGAAUGGUACCUGCAGGUCUGACCCCUGCCUCCUUUCUGCUUUGAUCUGUGGCAACUGAAAAGAUUGUAUGGGAGGAAAAACACAGAUCCUGUCUCUGGUUCCUGAGUUAUUGCUGUAACAUUUCCAUCUGGAACACAGCUUGAGCACGAGAAACAUUGCUCUGAGGCAGCAGCCAGGUGUAUCACUAUAAAGGUAGUGACAUCUCAGGUGUGAUGGUUCACAGCGAACAGUUUGGACAGCUGUAUGGACCACUCCUCCACCAACCCUGUGAUGCUCUUCUGUGAAACUGUGCCACCUCUUACACACUGGUCAGUCCCUCUCUUCUGACCCAUCUUGAUGUCCCUCUGCCAUUUUUACCUGCGCUGAAAAUGUUGGUCUUCUCUGCCUCUGGGUGAUUUCAAGGUGGCAGAGCAGCACGCUCGGUUCACAGGGACACAUUGGUUUUGUUCUCCAACUUCCUGAUAUCUCUCCCAGUUUCGACAUUCCUCAGUAUUUGGAGCAUCAUCUCCACAUAGAUGAUACGACUGGUCAUACAAGAUGUGUCUUGAGGAAUGGCAUCUCCCUCGGACACAUCAGAACCUCCUUGGCACGCAGCGGGACAUCAGGAAGCAGCCUGAAACCAGCCUGAAACUUGGGACUCUUCCAAAAUUUGGACA